rnacentral:lncRNA from 12 species
GAAACAUUUUCUGGCCUCACUGCCCAGGCUAGAUAAAAUGCCCUCAUUAUGUGUUUUCACAGCAUCAUAUAGUUCUUCAAAAGGAUCAUCCCAGUUUUAAUCUCAAAUAUAUUUCUGCAGUGAUGUCUGUUUAUGGAUAUUAAGUUUAGUCCUAGCAUCACAUGUAAUAAGAGAGGAAAAAUACUUAUUUAAUUAAACAAUUUUAAAGUAAUGCUGCUAGAUAAAAUCUACCAUGGACUUGAUGGAUAAGGUAAUGAGAGAAUCAAAAGUCUUCAGAAGUCAUUUAUUAGGUAUAGUGAAGAGACUAGUGAGAGUUAGACAUCAAAGAGUUGAAUCUCCACUCAGCCAUAAAGCUGUUUUCUGGGAAUGAACAGUUACCACAUUUUCUUUAAAUUCACCUUAAGGGGCUGAAAGAGAGGAAAGAUAAAAUUUUGCCCCUUUUGAAAAUUAAAGGGGUAGAAACGGGUAAAUUUCCCGAAAACUGCGGGAUAAAGCUUUAUAUAUAUGACCUGAUACUGUCAUGACAAAAUUCAACAUCCUUCAAGGUGAAGUACAAGGAAGAGAUUGAGCUUUAUAAAAAAAAAAAAAAAAAAAAAAAAAAAAAAAAAAAAAACAGGGAAGAGAUUGAGAAUAUAUAUUUCUUAAAAUUCAAACUUUGCACUAUGGUAAGACAGUAAAAGCUGAGAAAGUGUUUGUUUAAAAUAGCAAAAAAAAUGUGCAUUAUGUUCUAAGACAACUUCUUUGCAUGACAAAUCUGAAUUAUACCAUUUGAGUUACUUCAAAUGGACAAUAUAGAUGUAUUUAGCUCUCUGAUAACCCAUUUAAUAAAGGAAAAAAGUGGUUUUUCAGAAAACUCAAAGUCAGCCCAUUCAAAACAAAACUUACCAAGAUUCUCUCUCCUCUGCCCUCCACCUUAGAUCUCUCCCAGUCUUCUCUUUUUUUUGUCAGGAACUUGAGAAAACAGAGCUGCUCUCUAUACUACCUCAUCCCGCAUACCCUUCUGUUCUGUCAAUUGUCACAUUGUGUUGAUUUUUACUACCACUUACCUCUCCUGAAUCUGCCCACUUCUCUCAGCUACCACUGCUAUCACUGUGGUCCUGGACCCCAUGACAUGUCACUGGUGUCAUAAACCUCAUUGGUCUCUUGGCUGCCCAGAGCUGGAGCACUCCUUCACAAAAACAGACUGAUGGUGUUAUACCCCUGUUGGGUUGGCUACAUGACUCUCUGGAAAUUGGGUUGACAAGUCCAUUCAAGGUCCAUCUCCAGACAUACCUGUUAGUACUUCUUCAUGCUUUUGAGCUAGCUA